CGCUGUUUCUUGUUUAUUUGAAAUGCAUGAGAACCAAAUUGAAGGAAAUUGAAAACCCUCGCGGCCCUCUUCUUUCUUCCCCCAAUUCAUAAAACUGUGACUGAUGGAAAUCGAAACUUGAAAACCCUAGCCCCUUGUUGCUGCUGCACCGUCCCAAGCUCUUCAGCGCCACCGCCGUCCCAAACUCCGCGGCGCCGUCGCUUCUUCCUCUUCCCUGUUUUGCAAAACCUAGAAAACUCAGCACGUCGUCUUCAUCUUCGUCGGCUUCGCUGUUCGUGGUUUGGAGUAGCACGCUGUCCGGUUGCCGCUUGCCUUCAUCUCGCAUAUCGCCUUGUCUCGCCGGUUGCCGUCCGUCGAAGUGUUAACACUUGUCAUCAUAACGAGUUAUACUAUGUACAAAGUGGUGAUAUUGCCAAACUUCCACUACUUUGCCAUUAUCCUGUUAAGGAUAAUUUUUUCGCACUGGUAAAGACAACAGAAGUUGAGUAGUUGCUGCGACACCGUUUAUAACAACUUCAUAUGGCUUCUCAAAAUGAAGGAACUAAGCAGAGGACAUGAUGUGAAGAAAAUAUGUUCUAUAUAGAUAUAAGAUAGGAUAUAGGAUGGGUCUUAUAAUGAUUUUGGUUAUCUAAAUGUAUUAUUUUGAUGUGUUCUUUACAUUUUGAUAAGAGACUUUAUCUGAUAAUACAUGUAAUGGAUAAAUUACACCCUAUUUUGAUUAGUGUUGUAAUGGAUAUCUACUUUUUAAUGAAACUUUUAUGAUUUACAUUUA